rnacentral:rRNA from 1 species
UCCGUAGGUGGAUAAUUAAGUCAGAGGUGAAAUCUUGCAGCUCAACUGUAGAAUUGCCUUUGAUACUGGUUAUCUUGAGUCAUUAUGAAGUGGUUAGAAUGUGUAGUGUAGCGGUGAAAUGCAUAGAUAUUACACAGAAUACCGAUUGCGAAGGCAGAUCACUAAUAAUGUACUGACACUGAGGGACGAAAGCGUGGGGAGCGAACAGGAUUAGAUACCCUGGUAGUC